rnacentral:rRNA from 1 species
UACAGAGGGUGCGAGCGUUAAUCGGAAUUACUGGGCGUAAAGCGUGCGUAGACGGUUAUCUAAGUCGGGUGUGAAAGCCCCGGUCUCAACCUGGGAAUUGCAUUCGAGACUGAAUAGCUAGGGUACGGUAGAGGGAAGUGGAAUUUCCGGUGUAGCGGUGAAAUGCGUAGAUAUCGGAAGGAACAUCAGUGGCGAAAGCGACUUCCUGGACCAGUACCGACGUUCAGGCACGAAAGCGUGGGGAGCAAACAGG